rnacentral:rRNA from 1 species
UCCAGACUCCUACGGGAGGCAGCAGUGGGGAAUAUUGCACAAUGGGGGGAACCCUGAUGCAGCGACGCCGCGUGGGUGAAGGAGUAUUUCGAUAUGUAAAGCCCUAUCAGCAGGGAAGAACAAUGACGGUACCUGACUAAGAAGCACCGGCUAAAUACGUGCCAGCAGCCGCGGUAAUACGUAUGGUGCAAGCGUUAUCCGGAUUUACUGGGUGUAAAGGGGGCGCAGACGGCGAUGCAAGCCAGGAGUGAAAGCCCGGGGCCCAACCCCGGGACUGCUCUUGGAACUGCGUGGCUGGAGUGCAGGAGGGGCAGGCGGAAUUCCUGGUGUAGCGGUUAAAUGCGUAGAUAUCAGGAGGAACACCGGUGGCGAAGGCGGCCUGCUGGACUGCAACUGACGUUGAGGCCCGAAAGCGUGGGGAGCAAACAGGAUUAGAUACCCUUGUA